ACAUAUCAAUAAGCGGAGGAAAAGAAACCAACAGGGAUUGCUCUAGUAACGGCGAGUGAAGCAGCAAUAGCUCAAAUUUGAAAUCUGGCGUCUUCGACGUCCGAGUUGUAAUUUGUAGAGGAUGCUUCUGAGUGGCCACCGACCUAAGUUCCUUGGAACAGGACGUCAUAGAGGGUGAGAAUCCCGUAUGCGGUCGGAAAGGCGCUCUAUACGUAGCUCCUUCGACGAGUCGAGUUGUUUGGGAAUGCAGCUCUAAAUGGGAGGUAAAUUUCUUCUAAAGCUAAAUAUUGGCCAGAGACCGAUAGCGCACAAGUAGAGUGAUCGAAAGAUGAAAAGCACUUUGGAAAGAGAGUUAAAAAGCACGUGAAAUUGUUAAAAGGGAAGGGAUUGCAACCAGACUUGCUCGCGGUGUUCCGCCGGUCUUCUGACCGGUCUACUCGCCGCGUUGCAGGCCAGCAUCGUCUGGUGCCGCUGGAUAAGACUUGAGGAAUGUAGCUCCCUCGGGAGUGUUAUAGCCUCUUGUGAUGCAGCGAGCGCCGGGCGAGGUCCGCGCUUCGGCUAGGAUGCUGGCGUAAUGGUCGUAAUCCGCCCGUCUUGAAACACGGACCAAGGAGUCUAACAUCUAUGCGAGUGUUCGGGUGUCAAACCCCUACGCGUAAUGAAAGUGAACGGAGGUGAGAACCGCAAGGUGCAUCAUCGACCGAUCCUGAUGUCUUCGGAUGGAUUUGAGUAAGAGCAUAGCUGUUGGGACCCGAAAGAUGGUGAACUAUGCCUGAAUAGGGUGAAGCCAGAGGAAACUCUGGUGGAGGCUCGCAGCGGUUCUGACGUGCAAAUCGAUCGUCAAAUUUGGGUAUAGGGGCGAAAGACUAAUCGAACCAUCUAGUAGCUGGUUCCUGCCGA
rnacentral:rRNA from 1 species